rnacentral:rRNA from 1 species
UACAGAGGUCUCGAGCGUUAGGCGGAAUCACUGGGCUUAAAGCGUGUGUAGGCGGAUCGUUAAGUGCCUUGUGAAAUCCCACGGCUCAACCGUGGAACUGCUUGGCAUACGUGGCGGUCUUGAGCAACCUAGGGGCGAGCGGAACAAAUGGUGGAGCGGUGAAAUGCGUAGGAUAGUCGAUAAGGAAGACCAGUGGCGAAGG